rnacentral:SRP_RNA from 12 species
GUGUCUCAGAAGCCAGUACGCGCUGCGGCUCAUGUGGAUGGCGGACCCCAACCAAGCUGGCAGUCUGCAAGGAUCCCAGGGCGUAAGCCUUGGCAUCCUGGCAGCUAAUAACCCGGGCACUGGCUCAGGCUGGCAACAGAGCAAGCAAAACUGGGUGCUGCCAGCAGUGGUGGGAUACUCCGCCAGAAUGAC